rfam:Tupaia chinensis contig166598, whole genome shotgun sequence.
GCAAAGGCCUUUUUCAAGGCCCCACCACAUUCCAGGAAGAACUUAA